rnacentral:rRNA from 1 species
ACGUAGGUGGCAAGCGUUGUCCGGAUUUACUGGGCGUAAAGGGAGCGUAGGCGGAUUUUUAAGUGGGAUGUGAAAUACCCGGGCUCAACCUGGGUGCUGCAUUCCAAACUGGAAGUCUAGAGUACAGGAGGGGAAAGCGGAAUUCCUAGUGUAGCGGUGAAAUGCGUAGAGAUUAGGAAGAACACCAGUGGCGAAGGCGGCUUUCUGGACUGUAACUGACGCUGAGGCUCGAAAGCGUGGGGAGCAAACAG